rnacentral:lncRNA from 1 species
GGAUAGUUCCGUAUUUUCCAGAGCCUCGGGCUCAAUGGAUUCUUCAUGAAUCUCAGAAAUUGUUAAAUCAUGAAUUUUCUCAUGAGAUUCUUUCGUAGUGUCAUUUUGAUAAUUUUCUUUCCUCUUUCUAGAAUUUCGAUUUUUGGAACCUAAUGGUCUGCCACGCUUCAGGCGUGUAUUUGACUCAUUGGAUAUGACACUAGAUAUUUGUCCAAUAGGGACUUCAAUACGGAUCGGAACAUUUUCCGCGUGAAUGUGGGAUUUCGUUAUCCNNN